rnacentral:sRNA from 1 species
CCGCCCAGUGCACAAGUCACGCUGGGGGGCGGCUGCGGGGCGCUAGCAGGGACUUCCUGCCUCGAGGAUCUGGCAUUGUCACCCGACGUCCCCUGGUCUU